rnacentral:rRNA from 1 species
UAGGGAAUCUUCCACAAUGGGCGAAAGCCUGAUGGAGCAACGCCGCGUGUGUGAUGAAGGGUUUCGGCUCGUAAAACACUGUUGUAAGAGAAGAAUGACAUUGAGAGUAACUGUUCAAUGUGUGACGGUAUCUUACCAGAAAAGAACGGCUAAAUACGUGCCAG